UACAGAGGUCUCAAGCGUUGUUCGGAUUCAUUGGGCGUAAAGGGUGCGUAGGCGGCGCGGUAAGUCGGGUGUGAAGUCUCGGGGCUUAACUCCGAAACUGCAUUCGAUACUGCCGUGCUUGAGGACUGGAGAGGAGACUGGAAUUUACGGUGUAGCGGUGAAAUGCGUAGAUAUCGUAAGGAAGACCAGUGGCGAAGGCGGGUCUCUGGACAGUUCCUGACGCUGAGGCACGACGGCCAGGGGAGCAAACGGG
rnacentral:rRNA from 1 species